AUUGGACGCUGGCGGCAUGCCUUACACAUGCAAGUCGAACGGUAACAGGUCUUCGGACGCUGACGAGUGGCGAACGGGUGAGUAAUGCAUCGGAACGUGCCCAGUCGUGGGGGAUAACUGCUCGAAAGAGCAGCUAAUACCGCAUACGACCUGAGGGUGAAAGCGGGGGACCGUAAGGCCUCGCGCGAUUGGAGCGGCCGAUGUCAGAUUAGCUAGUUGGUGGGGUAAAGGCCUACCAAGGCAACGAUCUGUAGUUGGUCUGAGAGGACGACCAGCCACACUGGGACUGAGACACGGCCCAGACUCCUACGGGAGGCAGCAGUGGGGAAUUUUGGACAAUGGGCGCAAGCCUGAUCCAGCAAUGCCGCGUGCAGGAAGAAGGCCUUCGGGUUGUAAACUGCUUUUGUCAGGGAAGAAAUCUUCUGGGCUAAUACCCCGGGAGGAUGACGGUACCUGAAGAAUAAGCACCGGCUAACUACGUG
rnacentral:rRNA from 1 species